rnacentral:rRNA from 1 species
AAAAAGGGUGGUAAUGCCGGAUGUUCCAGUUGAUCGCAUGGUCUUCUGGGAAAGCUUUCGCGGUAUGGGAUGGGGUCGCGUCCUAUCAGCUUGACGGCGGGGUAACGGCCCACCGUGGCUUCGACGGGUAGCCGGCCUGAGAGGGCGACCGGCCACAUUGGGACUGAGAUACGGCCCAGACUCCUACGGGAGGCAGCAGUGGGGAAUAUUGCACAAUGGGCGCAAGCCUGAUGCAGCGACGCCGCGUGAGGGAUGGAGGCCUUCGGGUUGUAAACCUCUUUUAUCGGGGAGCAAGCGAGAGUGAGUUUACCCGUUGAAUAAGCACCGGCUAACUACGUGCCAGCAGCCGCGGUAAUACGUAGGGUGCAAGCGUUAUCCGGAAUUAUUGGGCGUAAAGGGCUCGUAGGCGGUUCGUCGCGUCCGGUGUGAAAGUCCAUCGCUUAACGGUGGAUCCGCGCCGGGUACGGGCGGGCUUGAGUGCGGUAGGGGAGACUGGAAUUCCCGGUGUAACGGUGGAAUGUGUAGAUAUCGAA